AUUGAACGCUGGCGGCAGGCCUAACACAUGCAAGUCGAGCGAGCGGCGGACGGGUGAGUAAUGCUUGGGAAUCUAGCUUAUGGAGGGGGAUAACUACGGGAAACUGUAGCUAAUACCGCGUACCAUAGGAUGAGCCCAAGUGGGAUUAGCUAGUAGGUGGGGUAAAGGCUCACCUAGGCGACGAUCUCUAGCUGGUCUGAGAGGAUGAUCAGCCACACUGGGACUGAGACAGGGCCCAGACUCCUACGGGAGGCAGCAGUGGGGAAUAUUGCACAAUGGGCGCAAGCCUGAUGCAGCCAUGCCGCGUGUAUGAAGAAGGCCUUAGGGUUGUAAAGUACUUUCAGCGGGGAGGCGGUACCCGCAGAAGAAGCACCGACUAACUCCGUGCCAGCAGCCGCGGUAAUUC
rnacentral:rRNA from 1 species